rnacentral:tRNA from 1 species
GGUCGCAUAGUUCAGUUGGUUAGAAUGUCUGUUUUACACACAGAAGGUCUCCGGUUCGAGUCCGGAUGUGACCA